rnacentral:rRNA from 1 species
GACGAACGCUGGCGGCGUGCUUAACACAUGCAAGUCGAACGAUGAAACUGGAGCUUGCUCCGGUGGAUUAGUGGCGAACGGGUGAGUAACACGUGAGUAAUCUGCCCUUGACUCUGGGAUAACUGCGGGAAACUGUAGCUAAUACCGGAUACGACACCUUCGGGCAUCCGAUGGGUGUGGCAAGAAUUUCGGUCAAGGAUGAACUCGCGGCCUAUCAGCUAGUUGGUGAGGUAAUGGCACACCAAGGCGACGACGGGUAGCCGACCUGAGAGGGUGACCGGCCACACUGGGACUGAGACACUGCCCAGACUCCUACGGGAGGCAGCAGUGGGGAAUAUUGCACAAUGGGCGAAAGCCUGAUGCAGCAACGCCGCGUGAGGGAUGAAGGCCUUCGGGUUGUAAACCUCUUUUAGUUGGGAAGAAGCGAAAGUGACGGUACCAACAGAAAAAGCACCGGCUAACUACGUGCCAGCCGCCGCAGUAA